UCGAUUGCUCCGGGGAGCCCACGGACGUGGGCUGAGAGGCUGGCCAGUAUCCCGUCGGCGACCCGUAUACCCGAUCGCGGUCAUGCGCGCGUGGGGAGGAUGAAAGAUCGUGUC
rnacentral:ncRNA from 2 species